CAGUAGCCGCGGUAAUACGAAGGGGGCUAGCGUUGCUCGGAAUCACUGGGCGUAAAGGGUGCGUAGGCGGGUCUUUAAGUCAGAGGUGAAAGCCUGGAGCUCAACUCCAGAACUGCCUUUGAUACUGAGGAUCUUGAGUUCGGGAGAGGUGAAUGGAACUGCGAGUGUAGAGGUGAAAUUCGUAGAUAUUCGCAAGAACACCAGUGGCGAAGGCGGCUCACUGGCCCGAUACUGACGCUGAGGCACGAAAGCGUGGGGAGCAAACAGGAUUAGAUACCCCCGUAGUCCCUGUCUCUUAUAC
rnacentral:rRNA from 1 species